CCCUUAGAUGUUCUGGGCCGCACGCGCGCUACACUGACGAUGGCAACGAGUUUUUCCUUCGCCGAAAGGUGUGGGUAAUCUUUUGAAGCAUCGUCGUGCUGGGGAUAGAUCAUUGCAAUUUUUGAUCUUGAACGAGGAAUUCCUAGUAAGCGCGAGUCAUCAGCUCGCGUUGAUUACGUCCCUGCCCUUUGUACACACCGCCCGUCGCUACUACCGAUUGAAUGGUUUAGUGAGGACUCCUGAUUGGCGCCGCCGCCCCGGCAACGGAGCAGCGGACUGCCGAAAAGUUGUUCAAACUUGAUCAUUUAGAGGAAGUAAAAGUCGUAACA
rnacentral:rRNA from 1 species